GUGCCAGCAGCCGCGGUAAUACGUAGGGUACGAGCGUUGUCCGGAAUUAUUGGGCGUAAAGAGCUCGUAGGUGGUUGGUCACGUCUGCUGUGGAAACGCAACGCUUAACGUUGCGCGUGCAGUGGGUACGGGCUGACUAGAGUGCAGUAGGGGAGUCUGGAAUUCCUGGUGUAGCGGUGAAAUGCGCAGAUAUCAGGAAGGAACACCGUGGCGAAGCGGGACUCUGGCUGUAACUGACACUGAGGAGCGAAAGCAUGGGGAGCGAACAGGAUUAGAUACCCUGGUAGUCC
rnacentral:rRNA from 1 species